GUUGGUGGGUGAGCAGUAUCAGGGAGAUUGGGGAGAGCCCUUGUGCAUGUGUGUGGGGGGUGGGGGUGGGGAGUCAGGGUGUCCUGAUUGGGGUAAGGGCUUGAGGAUGACCUGUGGUAGCCUUGGUAGUAAAGUAUGUGUCAGUGUCCCUUUCUCCCUGCAAAAGAUGGGCACCAGCAAUUUUCCGCCCCAUGCUCCACCCAGUAACUUUACUGUUUCACUUGAAGUCAUGAGGGAUGGUGAGGCAAAGGGAAAAAUAGGCUAAAGAACCUAACUCUUGAAAAAGUUUUGUAAACUUUGUAUUAAAGUAGAAAAUCCAGCUUUCAGAAAACGUAUUUACGAAACAUGACUUUGUGUGGAGGUGGUGGUGAGAUGCAGGUGCAACUCCACUGACUGGUACAUCCGGGCUUCAUAUAGCUCAUAAAUGUGCUAAUUAAGCACUUAUGUUCAGGGCCCCAAGCAGGCCCUGAGUGUUUUAGCAAAAAAAAAAAGACAAAGCUAACAAACAACCCUGUUCCACACAAAUAAACCAAAUUAAAGAGUAUUCUGGGUAUAUUGAUGCUAGCCAGUGUGUUCUGUAUGGGCUGAGUGGAGGUCUCUGUCAAGUGUUGCUUCAAAUAUCUUAUUUUGUUUUUGAAUAAAUGUUUCCAUCCCCAACCCCAGAAUUGUUAAGGAUAUGAAAUUUGUUAGCUGCACAGUAAUGUGGUGGUGAUCUUUGGAAACAAAAAGAAAUAAUAGUUUAACUGACUAUACUCACAGUGCUGUCAAACACAUCAGAUUAUGAACAAACAGGAAAAUGAAGGUGAAGACAACUGAGUUAGCUGCAAAGCCAAU